GAUGAAGAACGUAGCGAAAUGCGAUACUUGGUGUGAAUUGCAGAAUCCCGUGAACCAUCGAGUCUUUGAACGCAAGUUGCGCCCGAAGCCACUAUGCCGAGGGCACGCCUGCCUGGGCGUCACACGCCGUUGCCCCCCCAUCUACUCCUUCGGGAUUGCGGGGGGGCGGAUGAUGGCCUCCCGUGCGCCUAGCCGCGCGGUUGGCAUAAAUACCAAGUCCUCGGCGACGCACGCCACGACAAUCGGUGGUUGCGAAACCUCGGUUGCCCGUCGUGUGCGUUCGUCGCGCAUCGAGGGCUCGAAAAAAUGCUCGGCUCCGGCUGGGCUUUCAACGCGACCCCAGGUCAGGCGGGGUUACCCGCUGAAUUUAAGCAUAUCAAUAAGCGGAGGA
rnacentral:misc_RNA from 1 species